rnacentral:rRNA from 1 species
UCCGAUUAGCCAUGCUAGUCGCACGAGUUCAGACUCGUGGCGAAUAGCUCAGUAACACGUGGCCAAACUACCCUUCGGAACACAAUACCCUCGGGAAACUGAGGCUAAUAGUGUAUACCAUACCACCACUGGAAUGAGUGGUAUGCCAAACGCUCCGGCGCCGAAGGAUGUGGCUGCGGCCGAUUAGGUAGACGGUGGGGUAACGGCCCACCGUGCCAAUAAUCGGUAUGGGUCAUGAGAGUGAGAACCCAGAGACGGAAUCUGAGACAAGAUUCCGGGCCCUACGGGGCGCAGCAGGCGCGAAACCUUUACACUGCACGACAGUGCGAUAGGGGGAUCCCAAGUGCACAGGCAUAGCGCCUGUGCUUUUCGGUACCCUAAGGCGGUACCAGAAUAAGGGCUGGGCAAGACCGGUGCCAGCCGCCGCGGUAAUACCGGCAGCCCAAGUGAUGGCCGAUCUUAUUGGGCCUAAAGCGUCCGUAGCUGGCCGCGCAAGUCCAUCGGGAAAUCCACCUGCUCAACAGGUGGGCGCCCGGUAGAAACUGCGUGGCUUGGGACCGGAAGGCGCGACGGGUACGUCC